rnacentral:rRNA from 1 species
UACGUAGGGUGCGAGCGUUAAUCGGAAUUACUGGGCGUAAAGCGUGCGCAGGCGGUUUUGUAAGCCAGAUGUGAAAUCCCCGGGCUUAACCUGGGAAUGGCAUUUGGGACUGCAAGGCUCGAGUGCGGCAGAGGAGACUGGAAUUCCUGGUGUAGCAGUGAAAUGCGUAGAUAUCAGGAGGAACACCAACAGCGAAGGCAGCUCGCUGGGACGUCACUGACGCUGAGACGCGAAAGCGUGGGGAGCAAACAGG